AAGACCAUGCUUUCAGGGAUCAUUUCUAUAGUUUGUAACUAGAGAAGUUUCUCUGACUGUAUAAGAGUACUAGAAACCACGAGGACAAGACAUAGUGUUCCCUCCUGAGUAUGAAGCUGGCUUUUGGUGUUGCUUUUUUGCAACUGCCAUUUGCCAUUGAUGAUUGUUCUUCUCUUCAUUUGGAAAAGUUGGAGGGAUCACAGUCUGAGUGGUA
ensembl:snoRNA